UGGGGAAUAUUGCACAAUGGAGGGAACUCUGAUGCAGCGACGCCGCGUGAGUGAUGAAGGAAUUCGUUUCGUAAAACUCUGUUCUAUGGGAAGAAAAGGACUGUACCAUAGGAGAAAGCUCCGGCUAAAUACGUGCCAGCAGCCGCGGUAAUACGUAUGGAGCGAGCGUUGUCCGGAAUUAUUGGGCGUAAAGGGUGCGCAGGCGGCUUUACAAGUUGGAUGUGAAAUAUUGUGGCUCAACCACAAACGUGCAUCCAAAACUGCAAAGCUUGAGUUAAGGAGAGGUAAGUGGAAUUCCUGGUGUAGCGGUAGAAUGCGUAGAUAUCAGGAGGAAUACCGGUGGCGAAGGCGACUUACUGGACUUAAACUGACGCUAAGGCACGAAAGCGUGGGGAGCAAACAGG
rnacentral:rRNA from 1 species